rnacentral:rRNA from 1 species
AGUGAACGCUGGCGGUAGGCCUAAUACAUGCAAGUCGAACGGCAGCACAGUAAUAGCUUGCUCUUACGGGUGGCGAGUGGCGGACGGGUGAGGAAUACAUCGGAAUCUACUUUUACGUGGGGGAUAACGUAGGGAAACUUACGCUAAUACCGCAUACGACCUACGGGUGAAAGCAGUGGAUCUUCGGACCUUGCGCGAUUGAAUGAGCCGAUGUCGGAUUAGCUAGUUGGCGGGGUAAAGGCCCACCAAGGCGACGAUCCGUAGCUGGUCUGAGAGGAUGAUCAGCCACACUGGAACUGAGACACGGUCCAGACUCCUACGGGAGGCAGCAGUGGGGAAUAUUGGACAAUGGGAGCAAGCCUGAUCCAGCCAUGCCGCGUGGGUGAAGAAGGCCUUCGGGUUGUAAAGCCCUUUUGUUGGGAAAGAAAAGCAGCAGGCUAAUACCCCGCUGUUCUGACGGUACCCAAAGAAUAAGCACCGGCUAACUUCGUG